UCGGAGAGCAGUCACAGAUCGGUAGUAACAUUUGUGACCACUCGUUCGUGAUUGUUAACUUUGUUAAUCUGUGAUACUAACAACGAACUGUGAUAAUUUGUAAGCCUGUAAAAUGCCGAAACACAGAGGGAAGGGUGAAUAUAUUCGAGUGAACAAAGGAAAAUAUGGAGCUCAAGUCCAUAGAGAUAUAUCGGAACAGUUUUCCGAAGAGCAUACUGGAUUCUCGCAUUGCGAUGAAGCACACCGUGCUAAUAAAGUCAAAACAUUUCCAGUCGAUGCAAGAACGUCUGACAAGAUUAUGUUGGAUGCAUUUGAUGAAUGCAAUAGCAAAUCCUAUCAGAUACGUUUCAAGGCAUUAACAAACAUUUGCACUCAGUUGCAGCAAACACAUAAUCCUGACUUUUUACAUAGACAUGACGACAGACUGAUUAACAUUAUACGAAACGCACUGGGAAACAAUAUUCUUUGUGAAAUAGAUGCGGCAGCGACAAUAGUAGCAAUUCAAUUGCCUGAUAGUCGUCGAUUCGAUUUUUACGAAUCAUUGAUAGCUGCCUUGAAUGACGAAUAUGUAAGAUUCUCAACUCGAUUUGCUGUAUUGCACGCGGUCGGGAUUCUUUCAUUUUUAUAUAAGACGGAUCGGCAUCGAAUUUACAUUUUGUUGAGCAAUUAAUAGCUGUGCGGUUGGCAACAUUAACUGUUUUUCAAUUAGGACUAGAUGAACGUUUUUGCUGUGAGGUCACGAAUGCAUUUGUCAAAUGUUUUCAACACUCGUCUACAUUUAUUUCGACUAGCGCGCUGAUUUGUACAGCUUUAGCAUUUAUUGAAUUAGUUGACAAUGAACACGAUAAUCGUAUGUUCCUUGAACCUAAAAUGAACCUGUUCCGGCAAAUUUUCUCUGGAACCCAAUCGAAACAUCAUAAGACAUUGAAGGAAAACAGCACCCACAAGCUGUUAACCAAUCUACGCACGAAAGCGUUAGAAGGUUGGGGAUUACUAUUAACACUAUGCUCUCUGGAGGAUGUUUGCAUUCUUGUCAGAGACAAAAUAAUUGACGAAUUGACUGAACUGAUGAUUAAUGAUUCAAACGCUGAAAUUCGUAUAGCUUGUGGUCAACUGAUUUCGUUAAUAAUUGAACUGGGACGUCUCCGGCAAAGUAAAUAUUUUAAGCAAAAUAUGUCGGACACCUGUGUUGCUAUUACGGACAUCAUAAAUGAUCGAAACAGCGGCAAACAUAAAUUGCAAAAUUCAAGCCUACGUGAAGUCUUGAAAUAUGUCGAGGAUGGAUGGAAUCCGUCAUUCAUAGUGAGGUUUGAUAACGAGGUUCACGAAUUGAAAACUUGGUCGUCUAUUUUCAAAUAUCAGAAAUUUUGCCAAUUCAUCGGUCCGAAUGCAGCUGCACGUUUUUCAGAAAAUGAACGAGUUCGCGCCAUCGUACCCAUUGGCCUAAAAUCAGUCCUGUCAUUUUGGUGCUUACAACCGAGUACACAGUACAUACUUAGCUGUGCUGCAACAAGGAAAUCCAAAACCAAACAAACUCGACUGGAUCGUGAAGUACCCAAAUUUGGUUAUCUGUAACGCUCAUUCGAUUGUGUAAUUUGAGAGUAAAUAGACUUUAACUCGACUCGACAAUGUCAUAGUUGUAGUAGUUAUUAGUUUCAUUCUUCGAUCAGAACAGAACCUUCAACAGUUCAUUGAAUCGAAAGA